rnacentral:rRNA from 1 species
GACGAACGCUGGCGGCGUGCUUAACACAUGCAAGUCGAACGGUGAAGCGCCUUCCUUUUUGGUGGGUGUGGAUGAGUGGCGAACGGGUGAGUAACACGUGAGUAACCUGCCCCCUUCUUCUGGAUAACCGCAUGAAAGUGUGGCUAAUACGGGAUAUUCUGGGUCUGUCGCAUGAUGGGUCUGGGAAAGAUAUUGUUUCGGUGGGGGAUGGGCUCGCGGCCUAUCAGCUUGUUGGUGGGGUGAUGGCCUACCAAGGCGGUGACGGGUAGCCGGCCUGAGAGGGUGGACGGUCACACGGGGACUGAGACACGGCCCAGACUCCUACGGGAGGCAGCAGUGGGGAAUAUUGCACAAUGGGCGCAAGCCUGAUGCAGCGACGCCGCGUGAGGGAUGGAGGCCUUCGGGUUGUGGACCUCUUUCGCCAGUGAAGCAGGCCUGCCUCGUUUGUGGGUGGGUUGACGGUAGCUGGAGAAGAAGCGCCGGCUAACUACGUG